AGACACAGCCAGGCUGAGCCAGCCCCAUUCACCACACAAGGUCCUCAGGACCUGAGCAGAGGUGGCCCUUGGCACUCUCUGCCUGAGAGGAGGGAGGGGCAGCUCUAUCCCUGACCCCCCGGAGUCCUCCAUCUCUCUCUUCCUUGAAGAGGGUGUGGCUCCAAAGCCACACCCACGGUGCUACCUCCAUAGGGCCCCUACCUUGGGGCUGGGCAGUCUUCAUUCUCCCACAAUCCUCUGUGAAGUCAUCACCCACGUUCCAGAUCUCCCACUCCUAACACGCUGAGCACAGAUUUAUGGUGGAUGUUGCUUGAUCUGAAUGGGAGGCCCAGCGGCAAUACCCACUGACUUGGGGGGUAGGAGACACAGGAGACCAUAAGCCUUGUGUCAUCAAAAAGAGGUGAAGAAAAAUAGUUGAAAAGGAUGUCUGCGAUCAAUGUGGCUGCAGAAGAAAGAAGCAAGAUCUCUCGGCAUGAAGGAGGUGAAGAGCGAGCGGGAGCGGGGGAAUCGGCGAAGGCACCGGGACGGGGACGUGGUGGGGAUAGCGCCGGCGGUAGUGGUGAAGCAGGAGCGACUCAGCCCGGAGUCCGCGCCUCCGGUCCACCGCCGUCCGGAUUCCGCCGGCGGUAGCCCGUCCCCACCGGCCGGCGAGUCGGGCCGCCCAAGUCACCGCGGGAACCGAGCCCGAGGAGGUAGCCGGUCCCCAGCCAAAAAGAAAAACAAAUCCUCAGGAAGAAGGAGCAAGUCUCCCCGGAGUAAGAGAAGCCGAAGUCCUCAUCACUCAGCAAUCAAAGUAAAGCAGGAACGUGAGGACCAUCCUCGGAGAGGCCGGGAGGAUCGGCCACACCGAGAACCGUCAGGACAGGAACACAAGCGAGCUCGGAACAGUGACCGAGACAGGCACCGCAGCCAUUCCCACCAGAGGAGGAGCUCGGGCGAGAGGCCUGGCAGCGGGCAGCCUCAGGGACGUGAUCGAGAUGCUCAGAACCUGCAGGCUCAGGAAGCCGAGCGGGAGUUUCACAACACCCGGCGCCGCGAGCACCGCCAGAAGAAUGAAGUUAGUGCUGGCAGUAACGCGUCUCAGGACGCACUGCCUCGGCCUGGACCUGGAGGCAACAGCAAGGACAAAGAGGUGCCUGUUAAAGAGAAGCCAAGCUUCGAACUUUCUGGGGCACUUCUUGAGGACACUAACACCUUUCGGGGUGUAGUUAUUAAAUACAGUGAGCCCCCGGAAGCACGUAUCCCCAAAAAACGGUGGCGUCUCUACCCCUUUAAAAACGAUGAAGUACUUCCAGUGAUGUACAUCCACCGACAGAGCGCUUACCUCCUGGGCCGGCACCGCCGCAUCGCAGACAUUCCCAUCGAUCACCCCUCCUGCUCAAAGCAGCACGCCGUCUUUCAGUACCGGCUUGUGGAGUAUACCCGUGCUGAUGGGACAGUUGGCCGCAGGGUAAAGCCCUACAUCAUUGACCUUGGCUCAGGCAACGGAACAUUCCUGAACAACAAGCGAAUUGAGCCACAGAGAUACUAUGAACUGAAGGAAAAGGAUGUCCUUAAGUUUGGGUUCAGCAGUAGAGAGUAUGUUCUGCUCCACGAGUCCUCUGACACCUCUGAAGUAGACAGGAAAGAAGACGAGGAUGACGAGGAAGAGGAGGAGGUGUCUGACAGCUAGCAAACUGAAAACAACCCAGACUCUCGAGAGACCUUUUCUUUGUGUGAAGGCUUUGGGACUGACUCACGGGGCACCGCUGUGCUCUCUGUAAUGCCUCCUACUGCCUUAAGUCUUUCUUCUGUUGCUGACCAGCUUAUGUUUUAGUAUACUUUAUGGAGCCUGCUUCAGCUCACAACUGUACAGGAGGACCGUGGCCACUGCCAGCGGGUGCUGACUGCAUGUCACAGGAGGCCGAAAUGGGUCGUGGAUCUGUUUCCUGGGAGACAACUCUGACUUCUCCAUGGAACAUGUACAGAACAAUUUUGAUCAUCGUAGCUGUUCUUCAACUUCACGUUUUUAUUUAGAGGUUAUCUCCAUUCUUUCUUCUUUGAGAGAAGGAGUCAUUUAUGUAGCAGGGUCUUUGCUUUAUCCUAACAACAUAAUGUCAAAAGACGGUUGUGUGGUUUACAUGUUUCAUCUUUUUAAAACAACAUUCAGAGAGGUUGUAUUUACCUUCCAAGGCUGGAAAGUAUGGGAAUUGCCCAGUUUUCUCAUUUUCCACCAGAGGACUAUGUGUAAGUAGAAAAGUCACAACUGCUUACAUCUGUUGUGUGAUGUAUAUAUGUACAUAUUUAAAAAAUUGUGUGAAAGAGCCGCAUACUGAUUUUCCUAUGAGAAUGUUUUGUGACGUAAAUGUAAUACAAUAUUAUAGGCAAAGGCCUCCCUGCAUUUGAGGAGCAGGUUUUCAUUUAUAUGUAUUUUUGGAAUAAAAAAUAAUAAAAUUUGUAAAUAUA